UACGGAGGGUGCAAGCGUUAUCCGGAUUUAUUGGGUUUAAAGGGUGCGCAGGCGGAAAAAUUAGUCAGUGGUGAAAGGCCGCCGCUUAACGGUGGGACUGCCAUUGAUACUGUUUUUCUUGAGUAUGGUUGAGGUAGGCGGAAUGUGUGGUGUAGCGGUGAAAUGCAUAGAUAUCACACAGAACACCGAUUGCGAAGGCAGCUUACUAAGCCAUUACUGACGCUGAGGCACGAAAGCGUGGGUAGCGAACAGG
rnacentral:rRNA from 1 species